GACGAACGCUGGCGGCGUGCCUAACACAUGCAAGUCGAGCGGAGAUUACAGCAAUGUAAUCUUAGCGGCGGACGGGUGAGUAACGCGUGGGCAACCUGCCGUAUACAGGGGGAUAACACUGGGAAACUAGUGCUAAUACCGCAUAACAUAGCGAAGUGGCAUCACUUUGCUAUCAAAGGAGCAAUCCGGUAAACGAUGGGCCCGCGUCCGAUUAGCUAGUUGGUAGUGUAAAAGACCACCAAGGCGACGAUCGGUAGCCGAACUGAGAGGUUGAUCGGCCACAUUGGGACUGAGACACGGCCCAGACUCCUACGGGAGGCAGCAGUGGGGAAUAUUGCGCAAUGGGGGAAACCCUGACGCAGCAACGCCGCGUGAAGGAAGAAGGCCUUCGGGUUGUAAACUUCUUUGAUGAGGGAAGAAGAAUGACGGUACCUCAAAAACAAGCCACGGCUAACUACGUGCCAGCCGCCGCGGUAAUAC
rnacentral:rRNA from 1 species